AAUGACGGUACCCUAAGAGGAAGCCCCGGCUAACUACGUGCCAGCAGCCGCGGUAAGACGUAGGGGGCGAGCGUUGUCCGGAAUUACUGGGCGUAAAGAGCACGUAGGCGGAGACUUAAGUCAGGUGUGAAAGACCGGGGCUCAACCCCGGGGUGGCACUUGAUACUGGGUCCCUUGAGGGCAGGAGAGGGCAGUAGAAUUCCUGGUGUAGCGGUGAAAUGCGUAGAAAUCAGGAGGAAUACCAGUGGCGAAGGCGACUGCCUGGACUGACCCUGACGCUGAGGUGCGAAAGCGUGGGUAGCAAACAGGAUUAGAUACCCUGGUAGUCCACGCCGUAAACGAUGGAUACUAGGUGUGGGAGGUAUCGACCCCUUCCGCGCCGCAGCUAACGCAAUAAGUAUCCCGCCUGGGGAGUACGGUCGCAAG
rnacentral:rRNA from 1 species